GCCUCCUCGCGCCAUCAGACUCCUACGGAGGCAGCAUGGGGAAUAUUGCGCAAUGGGCGAAGGCCUGACGCAGCGACGCCGCGUGGGGGAUGAAGGCCUUCGGGUUGUAAACCCCUUUCAGCAGGGACGAAGCGAAAGUGACGGUACCUGCCACGAACGAAGCGCCGGCUAACUACGUGCCAGCAGCCGCGGAAUUC
rnacentral:rRNA from 1 species